rnacentral:misc_RNA from 1 species
AAAAGUCGUAACAAGGUUUCCGUAGGUGAACCUGCGGAAGGAUCAUUUGAAUAGUAGAUAGUUCGACAGCAACUUGUUUGCUGCGAAUUGUAGCACAAUUGUGCACGGUUAUGGACAUAGAUAAUUGUAAAACACAGUAACUGUAAUUUACCUCUUUGAAUGCUGCUUUUCGAAAGGAAAGUAGUAUCAUGGAAAAAGUACAACUUUUAACAAUGGAUCUCUUGGCUCUUG